rnacentral:rRNA from 1 species
UACGGGGGGUGCGAGCGUUGCUCGGAAUCACUGGGCGUAAAGGGUGCGUAGGCGGGUCUUUUAAGUCAGGGGUGAAAUCCUGGAGCUCAACUCCAGAACUGCCUUUGAUACUGAGGAUCUUGAGUUCGGGAGAGGUGAGUGGAACUGCGAGUGUAGAGGUGAAAUUCGUAGAUAUUCGCAAGAACACCAGUGGCGAAGGCGGCUCACUGGCCCGAUACUGACGCUGAGGCACGAAAGCGUGGGGAGCAAACAGGG